AAUUAGCAUUUGUAAAAAUGAACACAUUACAAUUUUGAUAAGCUAAAUGGAAUUAGUGUGGACCAAAGACGUUACGAAUAUAACUACCUGAAUAUUAAGGAUAUGCAAUAAAUUCUCCAACGGCUUGGCAUACUUGUCGUGGUCGCCUCUAAUGGCGUGACGUGCUCGCAGGGCGGUGCAGAUUGCGUCUCAAAAGAAAAAAAAAAGGAAGAUGCGCAAUGAGGAUCCGGACCCUGCGGCCUUUUAGCUUCCGCUGCUAAAACCGAUUUAUAUAACGCUUCAUCAUUCGCUUCUAUCUCCAAUACGACGGAAUGAAUAGACAAACGUCAUCUGACCUGCUCCAGCACAGUGCCUGCCGCCUGGUCGAUGGCUCCGCCCACGUCCCGGUAGCGGCCCGAGUAGCGGAUGAAGGCCCACGUCACCAUGGACAUCAUAACCAGGCCCAGCACGCAGUCACACACCAGGGCCAAGGUGGACAGGCCCACGAAGAGCAGCACGCCUGAGAGCACGUACAGGAGGCACACCAGCACGAACAGCACGGCCGGAGUUCGGAAGGCGCUGAACAGAUUCUUUGACUUUAAAAAGAAAAGAAAAAAAAAUCAGAUUUUGACAGACCUGAAAGCAUGUCCACCCUACAACAAAAUGAUUCUUGAACUUUAAAUGAAGAAAACAGAGAGAGAAGACAGUUCAGACUAUAUAUAUUAAAGAAUCCACAGGGAACUCUCUCUAUAGAGAGAGAGAGAUUACACACACACACACACACACACACACACACACACACAAAGCAAAAUGAUUUAGACAGACUUUGAUGCGAUGUCUAUCAAGAUAUAUUUUGUUUGAACUGAAUUGGUCUGAAACCGAUUAUCAAUUUAAUCCAAAUAAUGAAUAUUUGGAUUGGAUGAAAUCUGUCACUGCCGCAACAUAUCCUGACAGGCCACAAAGUACGCUGUGCGCUGAAAAAAAAAAGCAUCUUCAAAAUGCGACGACACACAAAGAGCACGUGUACAACCUUGUAAAUUGAAAUGUUGAAAAAAGAAAAUUAAAAUCACUCUUUCGCAUUUCU